UACACAUGCAAGUCGAGCGGAAGGCCCUUCGGGGUACUCGAGCGGCGAACGGGUGAGUAACACGUGAGUAAUCUGCCCUUGGCUUUGGGAUAACUACCGGAAACGGUGGCUAAUACCGGAUACGACACAGGUGUGCAUGCGCUCUGUGUGGAAAGUUUUUUCGGCCAGGGAUGUGCUCGCGGCCUAUCAGCUUGUUGGUGGGGUAAUGGCCUACCAAGGCUUCGACGGGUAGCCGGCCUGAGAGGGUGACCGGCCACACUGGGACUGAGACACGGCCCAGACUCCUACGGGAGGCAGCAGUGGGGAAUAUUGGACAAUGGGCGGAAGCCUGAUCCAGCAACGCCGCGUGAGGGAUGACGGCCUUCGGGUUGUAAACCUCUUUCAGUACCGACGAAGCGCCGAUGAUGGUGGUGACGGUAGGUACAGAAGAAGCACCGGCCAACUACGUGCCAGCAGCCGCGGUAAUACGUAGGGUGCGAGCGUUGUCCGGAAUUAUUGGGCGUAAAGGGCUCGUAGGCGGUUUGUCGCGUCGGGAGUGAAAACCCAGGGCUUAACUCUGGGCUUGCUUUCGAUACGGGCAGACUAGAGGUAUGCAGGGGAGAACGGAAUUCCUGGUGUAGCGGUGAAAUGCGCAGAUAUCAGGAGGAACACCGGUGGCGAAGGCGGUUCUCUGGGCAUUACCUGACGCUGAGGAGCGAAAGUGUGGGGAGCGAACAGGAUUAGAUACCCUGGUAGUCCACACCGU
rnacentral:rRNA from 1 species